AGACGGCAUUGUCUUGCUGUGUCUUCCUAUGGUGAAGAGCCAUGGAAGGUGAAUGACCAGUCUCGUCAUUUGGAACCUACCACAUAAACAGGCAAUGUUGAAUGGCAAAGAAAACAUCUCCGACAAGUGGCUUCAAUAGAGUUGGAACUGCUCACCUUGUACAAGCCAUCUGCUAACUGGGCAGCCAGGUUGGAUGCUAGACAGGAGACAGCCCCAGUGUGGAGAUGUCUGGGUGGACGACUGUCAGCAGGACUUCUGCCAAACAUGAGGGUCACUCUUCCCUCACAUGUGACAAGGACUUCAUUUCAUCCAAAGAGGCACCCUGGUGGGGGGGCAGUGAUAAUAGCUGCUUUUCACAAACUAUAGAUGAGAAAAACGUGACCAAGUCCACUUACUAAGGGACAAAGAGUGCAUUCCAAACCAUGUCUGCCUAAUUCAUUGAAAAUCCCAGCACUGAUUUGUAAUUAGCAAUGCAAUGAUGAACAACUAUUGAAUAAAAGAAUGAAUGACAGUUA